AUUCAGUGGCCAUCUAUAGCAGUGCUAAAAUGCGCGGAUAGACUGGAGCGAAUAAACAAAUCGGCACUUGAAGUAUUCGUGCAGCUUUGCAGUGAGAUGUUCUAAUAAAAACAGGUCUUAUCUCAAAACCUAUUGAGUUUGGGUCGAGUUGGAGUACAAGUCAAGUGAAUGGUUCGAAAGUUCGAAAAGUCUAAGUUGGUGUUUUAAAACAAUUACCAUGGGAAGAAAUGGAUUUCAGUUCUAGGGGUACGACUACUAUCCUUUCGUUGGGGGCCUUCGGAGGAAGCAGGAAAUGAACCAGGACCUUGGCUAUCUACUUCCGCCAAUCUAUGGUGAAAAGUAUGGUGGAAGCCAAAAUACGAGCAACUAUGUAGUGCUUUGGAGUUGUCUGUGUUUCAGAAAGGUGAAAAUUGUGCUCUAUAUGUUCUGAGAACGAGGGUGCGCGCCAAAACUCACAGCAUUGACAAAGACUCCUUGAUGGAUGUCGAAAGCUCUGUUGUUCGCUGGUGAGUAAGCAAAA